AUGGCCAUGUUGAAAUACUGGCUCUCAUCUGAUCACUGAAGUUAAGCAAUGUUGAACCAGGUCAGUACAUAGAUAGGUGACUGCUUGCGAAUACCAGGUGCU